UCUCCAGCUCACUGCACUUUAGCUCUUAAUGAUUACACAGCACCAGCUGGGUCCAGGCAUUCUGUGGGCAUGGAAUGAGAUAGGCAAUGCCCCAUUUCUCAUGCAGUGUGCAUCUUCAAGAGGCAGGACAGGAGGGUCCUGGCCACAGAAAAGGCACGUGAAAGAAAGUUCCAGUAUGCCUGAGGACCUGGGGGAAAGCCUUCACAGAGCCUAGUGAGAGAUACGGAAAUGGCAGGAGGAAAAUUUGGAGAAGGAAGCAAGAAUCACCCCAGAGAAGUUGGGGUGUAAGGGUUGGGCGUGGAUUUUAUUCGACUUGCCACCAAGGGCUUUUAAGAAGGGAAGAAAUAAUCUGAUCUUCAUUUUGAAGUGCUCUCUCCUGCUGCCAUAUGAUGAAGACCGUGGCAAUGGUCAAGAGAGAUGAUGACAACAUCCCUGGAAGCAGAGAUGAGGAGCAGAAAAAGGAUUGGGGCUAAGCAUUAACCCAGUGGGAACAUCAUGGACUUCUAAGAGGUACCAACAUCUACAGAAGAACAGCAUCAGAAACCGGGCCAUUAAUCUCAGAGGACAGACAACAGCCAUGGAAAAGAAACAAAGUUUGAAAUGCAUAGAACCAGAGCUAAUCUUUGGAAAAUCCUUUCAGUCUUGUCAUGUUAAAUUGCCAACAAUUUGGCACUCAUCAAUGCCUAGUCAAAAUGAAAGAUUUUCUGCUUGGAAUAUAUGUAUGAUAAUGCAGUAUAUUCAAUUAUAAUCCUGAAGGCAAUCACCAUUGUAUCAGAUUCACUGCAUCUAUAAGGCAUAAACCUGGACUAAUGCCUCUGCUAGGCUGAAUUACAAAAUACGCUCUCAAGAUUCCCAGCCAUGGUCUACACACACCUUCCUUCAGUUAGUUACUCAAUGAAAUCACAAUCUGGGUACUGCUGUGAAGGGAUUGUGCAGAUGUAAUUAAACUCUCAAAUCAGUUAACUUUAAAAUAGGGAGACGAUCCAGGAGGGGGAGGAGGGGCUGCCCUAAUCAUAUCAACCCUUUUAAAGCUCAGAGUUUUCUCUAGCUGGUUGCAGAAGAAAAAGACAUAGCGAGCCGGGCACGGUGGCUCACGCCUGUAAUCCUAGCACUCUGGGAGGCUGAGGCGGGC